rnacentral:lncRNA from 1 species
GGCUAUUUUACAUCCAGUGCGAGGAAAAGUUCAGUUGAAGAGAUCCCAGUAGAUGACCUCACUUCCUUAUGAUGACACUUUGCUCAGAACCCUGUUGCCAAGCAACACAUAGCACCACUAACUGAUGCCUGCUCACUUGUCUGGAGACACAGGACACGUGAGGAUGUUUUCUUGCUGUCUCCCGACUUCCCAAGGCUCAGGCCUCACGAGAUCUCUCAGGAGAGGAGUCAGUCGCAUCUGGAGAAACUGGGUCCCGCGUCUCACACAAUGCCUGUGGCCAUCUUCUCAGAGGAGUCAAAGUGGGAAACACAGGUAGCUGAGGGCAGGUCCCACUCCAGGAUGAAAAGGAGUCAAGCCUGACUCUGGAUACUCAAGCUUGCUUAGAGCUUUUGAAGAUGGAUGUAAGGGAGUCCAUGGUCAACCAUCUUGUGCGAUCCUUGCUUCAAGGGAACUCUUUGUUCCUGCACGAGUUUUGGAAAAACUACCAAGUAUUUGGGACCACACGGCAGGUGCUGGAUCUGCUGUUGAAAAGGUUUGUGCACCACCUUGUAGGUCAGGGGAGCUCCAUCUGGCUGGGUUUUGGGAAUGCCUUGCACCACUUGGUGACCCAGUUUGCUGUGUGACAAUUGGAGUGCUAAUAGGAGGACCUGCAGGGUGUGGUCAGGAGCAAGGGAGUUGAGCCUGCAAAUGCCUGUCCUGUGCUUGAUCAUGUACCUUGGUUACCCAGCACUGUGGUCCACUUGAGUGUGACAUUCACCUUUCAUCAACAUGGAGAAGCUCUCAGCCUGGCUCCUCACUUGAGGCCUCAGAGAAAGUUUCCCCAUCUGUGAAAGAGGCUCUGGAUUCCAUCUGGGAGACUCUUCUCUUAGAUACAGGCAGAGCAGGAGCCCUGGGGAUGGACUGAGGGGCCUGAGACCCAUGGAGACAUUUGCGAAGGUGAUGGUUGGGUUCAUCCAUGGCAUACACAAAUAUGAAGCACUAAUUGUAUACAGGCACAUUGCUGGGUACUUAACCCAAUUCAGGGAAAAAGGGCAGGAAAAUACCUUUUCUCUUAGGCUUUAUUUUUAUGUCAGUAUAGACAGUGACACAAAAAAGUCAUAAGAAGGUAGGGUAGGUGUGUUACCAGUCUCCCAUAUCCAUCUGCUCAGGUUUGUUUGCUCACCCCUGGAAAACCAAAGGAAGCCAUUUUGGGGGGGGGGGG